rnacentral:rRNA from 1 species
AUUGAACGCUGGCGGCAUGCCUUACACAUGCAAGUCGAACGGCAGCACGGACUUCGGUCUGGUGGCGAGUGGCGAACGGGUGAGUAAUAUAUCGGAACAUACCUUGUAGUGGGGGAUAACUAUCCGAAAGGAUAGCUAAUACCGCAUACGCUCUAAGGAGGAAAGCGGGGGAUCGUAAGACCUCGUGCUAUAAGAGUGGCCGAUAUCUGAUUAGCUAGUUGGUGAGGUAAAGGCUCACCAAGGCGACGAUCAGUAGCUGGUCUGAGAGGACGACCAGCCACUGGAACUGAGACACGGUCCAGACUCCUACGGGAGGCAGCAGUGGGGAAUUUUGGACAAUGGGGGCAACCCUGAUCCAGCAAUGCCGCGUGAGUGAAGAAGGCCUUCGGGUUGUAAAGCUCUUUUGUCAGGGAAGAAACGGUUGUGGCUAAUAUCCAUGGCUAAUGACGGUACCUGAAGAAUAAGCACCGGCUAACUACGUGCCAGCAGCCGCGGUAACAC